rnacentral:rRNA from 1 species
AUUGAACGCUGGCGGCAGGCCUAACACAUGCAAGUCGAACGGUAACAGGAAGAAGCUUGCUUCUUUGCUGACGAGUGGCGGACGGGUGAGUAAUGUCUGGGAAACUGCCUGAUGGAGGGGGAUAACUACUGGAAACGGUAGCUAAUACCGCAUAAUGUCGCAAGACCAAAGAGGGGGACCUUCGGGCCUCUUGCCAUCGGAUGUGCCCAGAUGGGAUUAGCUAGUAGGUGGGGUAACGGCUCACCUAGGCGACGAUCCCUAGCUGGUCUGAGAGGAUGACCAGCCACACUGGAACUGAGACACGGUCCAGACUCCUACGGGAGGCAGCAGUGGGGAAUAUUGCACAAUGGGCGCAAGCCUGAUGCAGCUAUGCCGCGUGUAUGAAGAAGGCCUUCGGGUUGUAAAGUACUUUCAGCGGGGAGGAAGGGAGUAAAGUUAAUACCUUUGCACAUUGACGUUACCCGCAGAAGAAGCACCGGCUAACUCCGUG